GUAGAUCACGAGUUUGCAAUGCAGCUCAAUAAGGCGAUUGCAGAUCAUGAGGUUGCAAGGACAACUGCUCAAGAAGCAAUUCUUCAUCUUUGAGGACUUGAGGUCCUACUGGUUCUCACCGAGGCCACAUUCCGAAGCAUUGUCUUGUGCUCAGGUCCAUUUUCCUCAACAGCCACGCAGGUGAAUCUGCUGGAAUUACAAGGACUGAUCUAUGCUAAG